rnacentral:lncRNA from 1 species
UGCCAGCUCUCUCAGGAAGUCUAGAAAGGGAGGACGUGAGCCAUGUGGCCUUGGGGCCUGCGGCAAAGGGCAUAACGAGCCAGGCUAGAGGGACCCUCUCCUCAAUUCUGGGCAGAAACUUUCUCUGUUUUUGUGCAAUGUGGGAUAAACCGUUUGCCACUGGUCUUUGGCCCUGAGCCUAUAGCGUCGGAAACAGUGAGAAAGACCCCUCGGCACGGAUAUCUGGGUUCCCCUGGAUGUCCCUGGAGCAGAAAUCGGGGGUGGAGGUGAACUUCUUACAAGUGGCUUUGUGGAGAGCUGGAGUGCAGAAUCUGAGAAGGCUGCUUGUCAUAACUUUGAAACACCAGCUCCUGGAAGAACCCACAUAGUUGAGUCUCAGCGUGUUGCCCAGGCUGGAGUGCUGUGGCUCGAUCUCGGCUCACUGCAACCUUCACCUCCCGGGUUCAGG